rnacentral:lncRNA from 10 species
CUUCCUGCUUUCAAAGUUGCAAUGAGCGCAGAGCGGUGCGCCCGAGGGGGUUGAAGCGUUGAAAGUGUGUUACCCAGAUUUUAUCUGAGUUAAACACGGGCCGGCCGCUGUGGCUCACGUCUGUACUCCCAGAGCCUUGGGAGGUCGAGGCGGGAAGAUCGCUUGAGCCCGGGAGCUCGAGACCAGACGCGGCAACAUGGCGAGACGCACAUCUCUGCCUUUAAAAAUGAGAGGCUGGCGGUUACCUUUCUUGGGGAGACGCGUCCGACUGCUUCAUUGUGGGGGCCUCAGGAGCGGAGGAUCGGGUCCCGCCCGAGGUGACGCGUAAACCCAGACUCUCAGCAACGCGGGUAGGAAGGACCCUUGAAGUUCCGCGGCGACCACGGCCUCCACCCCUCGAAUUCCCAGUUCACCGACACCAGCCUGGGGAUCACCUCCUUGUCAGAAGUUGGAAAGAGGAAAAACUCAGCCAACCUGGGAAGGACUUUAUCGGGUGCUCCUGACCACCAAGAUGACGGUCGGAAAGGGCCCCAUCCCUGGAGGGAUCUUGGACCUUCACUCCAGGAUCAACGCCUUCCAAAUUAACAUUCAAAAAGGUUUAAUCUGUCUCUUCCUUCUCCCUGUAGCCGCCCAAGGACGUCUUAUUAUCAAUAUAAGGUGAUCACCCUUUCCCCAGCUAGUUUCGUUUGAUGCCUGUCUGGUUCAUAUACCCCGUAAAGAUAUCCACAGCCAAAGACAGCCUCUUCUGAAGAAAAUCCUUGGCCCAGCCCUUGUAGUAACCGGUACCCUGGGGUGCCAUUCCCUGUUGAAAUUCGCUCAGGAUGGUGGCAGAAAUAUUAAAGGGAAACAUUAGGUAAAGUUAGAGAAAAUAGUCACAAACCGGCCGGGCGUGGUGGCUCACGCCUGUCAUCCUAGCACUUCGGGAGGCCGAGGCAGGAGGAUCACGAGGUCAGGAGAUCGAGACAAUCCCGGCUAACAUGGUGAAACCCCGUCUCUACUAAAAAUACAAAAAAUUAGCCGGGCGUGGUGGCGGGCGCCUGUAAUCUCAGCUACUUGGGAGGCUGAGGCAGGAGAAUUGCUUGAACCUGGGAGGCGGAGGUUGCAGUGAGCCAAGAUCACGCCAUUGCACUCCAGCCUGGGCUACAAGAGCGAAACUCCGUUUCAAAAAAAUAAAUAAAUAAAUAAAGCGCAUCGUUACUUCGAUCCCAGAUAAUACAGGCCCUGAUGGGACCAUCUCGAAAGCCUGAC